UACGGAGGGUGCGAGCGUUGUCCGGAAUCACUGGGCGUAAAGGGCGCGUAGGCGGCCCUGGCAGUCGGUGGUGAAAGCCCCCGGCUCAACCGGGGAGGGUCGUCGGGGACGGGUGAGCUUGAGGGUAUCAGGGGCUGGUGGAACUCCCGGUGUAGUGGUGAAAUGCGUAGAGAUCGGGAAGAACACCCGUGGCGAAGGCGGCCAGCUGGGAUACACCUGACACUGAGGCACGAAGGCGUGGGGAGCGAACGGG
rnacentral:rRNA from 1 species